AGAUGGCGACCGGCGCACGGGUGAGUAACACGUAUCCAACCUGCCGAUAACUCGGGGAUAGCCUUUCGAAAGAAAGAUUAAUACCCGAUGGCAUAAUAGAACCGCAUGGUUUGAUUAUUAAAGAAUUUCGGUUAUCGAUGGGGAUGCGUUCCAUUAGGCAGUUGGUGGGGUAACGGCCCACCAAACCUUCAAUGGAUAGGGGUUCUGAGAGGAAGGUCCCCCACAUUGGAACUGAGACACGGUCCAA
rnacentral:rRNA from 1 species